rnacentral:rRNA from 1 species
GACGAAGGGGGCUAGCGUUGUUCGGAAUUACUGGGCGUAAAGCGCGCGCAGGCGGCCUUUUAAGUCUACCCCGUGAAAUGCCGGAGCUCAACUCCGUGCACGCCGGGAGGUACUGGACGUGGAGCUGGAGACAGGUAGAGGCAAGCGGAAUUCCGGGGUGUAGCGGUGAAAUGCGUAGAUAUCGAGAGGAACACCUGCGGCGAAGGCGGGUUGCUGGGCUGACACUGACGCUGAUGCGCGAAAGCCCAGGGGAGCGAACGGG